rnacentral:rRNA from 1 species
UACAGAGGUCUCAAGCGUUGUUCGGAUUCAUUGGGCGUAAAGGGUGGUGUAGGUGGCGCCGUAAGUCGGGUGUGAAAUUUCGGAGCUUAACUCCGAAACUGCAUUCGAUACUGCCGUGCUUGAGGACUGGAGAGGAGACUGGAAUUUACGGUGUAGCGGUGAAAUGCGUAGAUAUCGUAAGGAAGACCAGUGGCGAAGGCGGGUCUCUGGACAGUUCCUGACGCUGAGGCACGAAGGCCCAGGGGGAGCAAAACGGG